rnacentral:tRNA from 1 species
GCACCCGUAGCUCAAUUGGAUAGAGUAUUUGACUUCGGAUCAAAGGGUUUCAGGUUCAACUCCUGACGGGUGCACCA